CCUACGGGAGGCAGCAGUGGGGAAUAUUGGACAAUGGGCGAAAGCCUGAUCCAGCAAUGCCGCGUGAGUGAUGAAGGCCUUCGGGUCGUAAAGCUCUUUUACCAGGGAUGAUAAUGACAGUACCUGGAGAAUAAGCUCCGGCUAACUCCGUGCCAGCAGCCGCGGUAAUACGGAGGGAGCUAGCGUUGUUCGGAAUUACUGGGCGUAAAGAGUACGUAGGCGGUUAUUCAAGUCAGAGGUGAAAGCCCGGGGCUCAACCCCGGAACUGCCUUUGAAACUAGAUAGCUAGAGUCUUGGAGAGGUUAGUGGAAUUCCGAGUGUAGAGGUGAAAUUCGUAGAUAUUCGGAAGAACACCAGUGGCGAAGGCGACUAACUGGACAAGUACUGACGCUGAGGUACGAAAGCGUGGGGAGCAAACAGGAUUAGAUACCCUGGUAGUCCACGCCGUAAACGAUGAUAACUAGUUGUUCGGUCACUUGGUGACUGAGUGACGCAGCUAACGCAUUAAGUUAUCCGCCUGGGGAGUACGGUCGCAAGAUUAAAACUUAAAUGAAUUGACGG
rnacentral:rRNA from 1 species